rnacentral:pre_miRNA from 1 species
AGCUUUCUGGAUUCGUGCCGAGAUUUUGUCAGACGCUAAACCCCUGAGUGAUAAGACUUCUAAGAUAAGUGAAGUG